rnacentral:rRNA from 1 species
UACGGAGGGGACUAGCGUUGUUCGGAAUUACUGGGCGUAAAGCGCAUGUAGGCGGCAGCGCAAGUCGGGCGUGAAAUCCCACGGCUCAACCGUGGAAGUGCACUCGAAACUGCGCAGCUAGAGUCCUGGAGAGGAAGGUGGAAUGCUUGGUGUAGAGGUGAAAUUCGUAGAUAUCAAGCGGAACACCGGUGGCGAAGGCGGCCUUCUGGACAGUGACUGACGCUGAGAUGCGAAAGCGUGGGGAGCAAACAGGG